rnacentral:lncRNA from 1 species
UUGGGACACUUGCAAGAUCUGAGUAUCAAACAAAGAGUAAUGAUAAAGAGAUAGAAACAUUAAUCACCCUAAUCUAAUCAUUACACAUCAUAUGCAUGUAGUAAAAUAUCACACUGCACCUUAUAAAUGUGAACGAUUAUUAUGCUAUUCAAAAAAAUUCUUUCAAAGGUGUUAAAGGAGAUCUCAGUGCUAACUACCCUGAUUUGGCCAUUACACAUCCUGUACACACCUGGAAUAACUACAAUGUACCCCAUAAAUAUGUACAAUUAAGAUAAUAAUUUUUAAAAUUAAUUUAAAAGGUAGACACUUUGCCCUUUAACCAACAGAAAGUUCACGAUAUUAAGAGAGGUGAAUCAUUGGAAUGGCAUUACCUGUGAAUAAAUGGAGAAAGUGUGAGCAGUCCUGGCAGACCCAAUGCAGCCACCUUGUACAAAUGGGGAAGCUCAGGACCAUGGGCAAGGGGUGCCAUUCCCAUCUGGAAAAUGUGAUAAAUAGUACUUUGCCCUUCCUUGGCCUUGCUAUGCAGUACCUCUAAAUUAAUGCAUUUAAGCAUUGAGAUCACCAGCAGUACUGAUUCCUUCUCCAAUAGGCUAUCUGUUAUAAAAUAAAAUAAUCCUGACAUUAUUUGCUCACUGGAAAGAAAUUUGUCACUAUAGCAAAUAAAAACUAGUCCUGAUGUUUUUCCAGUAAGCUUGUCCCUAACAAUAUCCUUUACUAUUGCUGUACAGAAAGAUUUGAUAGCCUUUGUCUAUUAAUGAUAUUUGUUAUCAUU